rnacentral:rRNA from 2 species
GUGAGCGGCAGACGGGUGAGUAACGCGUGGGAAUCUACCUUAAGCUGCGGGAUAACAGAGAGAAAUUUCUGCUAAUACCGCGUGUGCCCGGAAGGGGAAAGAUUUAUCGGCUUAAGAUGAGCCCGCGUUGGAUUAGCUAGUUGGUGGGGUAAAGGCCUACCAAGGCGACGAUCCAUAGCUGGUCUGAGAGGAUGAUCAGCCACACUGGGGCUGAGACACGGCCCAGACUCCUACGGGAGGCAGCAGUGGGGAAUAUUGGACAAUGGGCGCAAGCCUGAUCCAGCCAUGCCGCGUGAGUGAUGAAGGCCUAAGGGUUGUAAAGCUCUUUCACCGGGGAAGAUAAUGACGGUACCCGGAGAAGAAGCCCCGGCUAACUUCGUGCCAGCAGCCGCGGUAAUACGAAGGGGGCUAGCGUUGUUCGGAAUUACUGAGCGUAAAGAGCGCGUAGGCGGAAAAGUAAGUCAGGGGUGAAAUCCCGGGGCUCAACCCCGGAAUUGCCUUUGAUACUGUUUUUCUUGAGUGCAGAAGAGGUAAGUGGAAUUCCGAGUGUAGAGGUGAAAUUCGUAGAUAUUCGGAAGAACACCGGUGGCGAAGGCGGCUUACUGGUCUGCAACUGACGCUGAGGCGCGAAAGCGUGGGGAGCAAACAGGAUUAGAUACCCUGGUAGUCCACGCUGUAAACGAUGGAAGCCAGCUAUUGGGCAGUUUACUGCUCGGCAGCGCAGCUAACGCAUUAAGCUUCCCGCCU